rnacentral:rRNA from 1 species
UAGUGGCGAACGGGUGAGUAACACGUGGGCAAUCUGCCCUUCACUCUGGGACAAGCCCUGGAAACGGGGUCUAAUACCGGAUAACACCUGCCCGGGCAUCUGGGUGGGUUAAAAGCUCCGGCGGUGAAGGAUGAGCCCGCGGCCUAUCAGCUUGUUGGUGAGGUAGUGGCUCACCAAGGCGACGACGGGUAGCCGGCCUGAGAGGGCGACCGGCCACACUGGGACUGAGACACGGCCCAGACUCCUACGGGAGGCAGCAGUGGGGAAUAUUGCACAAUGGGCGAAAGCCUGAUGCAGCGACGCCGCGUGAGGGAUGACGGCCUUCGGGUUGUAAACCUCUUUCAGCAGGGAAGAAGCGAAAGUGACGGUACCUGCAGAAGAAGCGCCGGCUAACUACGUGCCAGCAGCCGCGGUAAUACGUAGGGCGCAAGCGUUGUCCGGAAUUAUUGGGCGUAAAGAGCUCGUAGGCGGCUUGUCACGUCGGGUGUGAAAGCCCGGGGCUUAACCCCCGGGUCUGCAUUCGAUACGGGCUAGCUAGAGUGUGGUAGGGGAGAUCGGAAUUCCU